GGGGAAGGAAUAGAAGCUGAGCAAAUGAAUGAAAUGCCUUCUUCCAUAUGUGUUUCUGGGCUGUGAGGAAAGUACCAGAGCUGAAAGCUCUUGCAACUCUUGGAAUUCUUCUAUCUUGGGCAACGUGAUGGCACCUGAUGGAGAAUGAAAACACGUCAAAGGCUCUGAGAUAUUCAUCUUCCAGAAAGCUUGUCUGGUACUUGGAGGAGUUCUGUGGUACCAAACUUCAGGAAGAGUUGUCUGCGGCAAGGAAGGAGUAACAAACAGCCAGACCCUUACACAUGCUGACAGGUAGCAUUUUCUUCUCAAGUUGUUUGCAAAGGCACUCACUGAAUUGUUGUUUGUUUGUUUGUUUGUUUGUUUUGCAUGUAACAGCGCAUCUCCCCUUACUUUUCUGAGAGGAGUAGCCCUGGUUCCCCACAG
rnacentral:lncRNA from 1 species